AGUGAACGCUGGUGGUAGGCCUAACACAUGCAAGUCGAACGGCAGCACAGUAAGAGCUUGCUCUUACGGGUGGCGAGUGGCGGACGGGUGAGGAAUACAUCGGAAUCUACUUUUUCGUGGGGGAUAACGUAGGGAAACUUACGCUAAUACAGCAUACGACCUACGGGUGAAAGCAGGGGAUCUUCGGACCUUGUGCGAUUGAAUGAGCCGAUGUCGGAUUAGCUAGUUGGCGGGGUAAAGGCCCACCAAGGCGACGAUCCGUAGCUGGUCUGAGAGGAUGGUCGGCCGCACUAGAACUGGGACACGGUCCAGGCUCCUACGAGAGGCAGCAGUGGGGAAUAUUGGGCAAUGGGCGCAAACCUGAUCCAGCCAUACCGCGUGGGUGAAGAAGACCUUCGGGGUGUAAAGCCGUUUUUUUGGGAGAAAAAAGCAGCAGGUUAAUACCCCGCUGUUCUGACGGUACCCAAAGAAUAAGCACCGGCUAACUUCGUG
rnacentral:rRNA from 1 species